AUUGAACGCUGGCGGCAGGCCUAACACAUGCAAGUCGAACGAGUGGCGGACGGGUGCGUAAUGUCUGGGAAACUGCCCGAUGUAGGGGGAUAACUACUGGAAACGGUAGCUAAUACCGCGUACCCUCGGAUGUUCCCACAUGGGAUUAGCUUGUAGGUGAGGUAACGGCUCACCUAGGCGACGAUCCCUAGCUGGUCUGAGAGGAUGACCAGCCAUACUGGAACUGAGACACGGUCCAGACUCCUACGGGAGGCAGCAGUGGGGAAUAUUGCACAAGGGGCGCAAGCCUGAUGCAGCCAUGCCGCGUGUAUGAAGAAGGCCUUCUGGUUGUAAAGUACUUUCAGCGGGGAGGCGUUACCCGCAGAAGAAGCACCGGCUAACUCCGUGCCAGCAGCCGCGGUAAUAC
rnacentral:rRNA from 1 species